rnacentral:rRNA from 1 species
GACGAACGCUGGCGGCGUGCUUAACACAUGCAAGUCGAACGGUGAAGCGCCUUCCUUUUUGGUGGGUGUGGAUGAGUGGCGAACGGGUGAGUAACACGUGAGUAACCUGCCCCCUUCUUCUGGAUAACCGCAUGAAAGUGUGGCUAAUACGGGAUAUUCUGGGUCUGUCGCAUGAUGGGUCUGGGAAAGAUAUUGUUUCGGUGGGGGAUGGGCUCGCGGCCUAUCAGCUUGUUGGUGGGGUGAUGGCCUACCAAGGCGGUGACGGGUAGCCGGCCUGAGAGGGUGGACGGUCACACUGGGACUGAGACACGGCCCCGACUCCUACGGGCGGCAGCAGUGGGGAAUAUUGCACAAUGGGCGCAAGCCUGAUGCAGCGACGCCGCGUGAGGGAUGGAGGCCUUCGGGUUGUGAACCUCUUUCGCCAGUGAAGCAGGCCUGCCUCGUUUGUGGGUGGGUUGACGGUAGCUGGAUAAGAAGCGCCGGCUAACUACGUG